rnacentral:misc_RNA from 1 species
UCCGGUUUGUCACCGGCAGUCUCGCAUGAGUCCCCAACUAAAUGCUGGCAACAUGCGACGGGGGUUGCGCUCGUUGCGGGACUUAACCCAACAUCUCACGACACGAGCUGACGACAACCAUGCACCACCUGUCACCGAUGUACCGAAGUAACUUUCUAUCUCUAGAAAUAGCAUCGGGAUGUCAAGACCUGGUAAGGUUCUUCGCGUUGCUUCGGAUUAAACCACAUGCUCCACCGCUUGUGCGGGCCCCCGUCAAUUCCUUUGAGUUUCAACCUUGCGAUCGUACUCCCCAGGCGGAGUGCUUAAUGCGUUAGCUGCGGCACUUAAGGGCGGAAACCCUCAAACACCUAGCACUCAUCGUUUACGGUGUGGACUAC